ensembl:lncRNA
GGAUGGAGGAGAGGCAGCAAUAUUCAGUGCUAAAGGUGGAGUUGUGUCCAUCACAUUGAAAGCUCAACACCCUGCAGCAUCUAUUCAAGCUGUAGAGAUCAGCUCUCAGUAUUUACUGCUCUUCUGCAGGUAAUGUUAAAUAAUUUACCCAAAUGUGUGACCCUGAGUCUUUAAUAUGUAUUAUAUCUGUCUCUUUGGUUUUUGAUACCCCUAUAAAAGACAGAGGGAAAUCAUUCACACUGAACUCUUCAGCACAGCAUCUAUCCAGCCCGAUCUCACGGCAAAUCGUACAUAUUUUACGAGGUGGCUAAUUCGUACGAAUUCGUACGACCACACUCGUACAAAUUCAUACGAUUUUUGCCAAAUCGUACGUAUUUUACGAGUUGCACAUUCGUAUGAAUUUGUACGAAUGACCUACACCUAACCCCGCCCCUAAACCUAACCGUUACUGGGGUCUAGCCAAAUCGUAUGAAAUCGUACGAGUGAGGUCGUACGAAUUCGUACGAAUUAGCCACCUCGUAAAAUAUGUACGAAUUGGCGUGAGAUAGCGUUGAUCUAUCCAGUACCUGCAGGUUCUUAUCUUGGGUUGCAGCCAGGACUACAUUUCACAGGUCACCAUCACAGGGGGCGGAUCCCACACUGUGGCCCUUUGUCCCAAACCCCUCACAGCACCACCACAGAGAUUAUAAUCUGGAACCUUGAGACUGAAGACCAUAAACACAUUGCACGGUUUCCUGGCCUGCUGGCUCAUGGUGUGUGUUCUGAUCUGCAGUACUGUGUGGGUUUCUGUCCCGGGGAAGCGAUUCUUACGCCUGUGGAACCUGGGAUCCAGAAUAAAUGACCACACACUCACAUACAACGUGCACAAAGCACACAGCGAUGGCACAGCGGAGAUUGUAACCAUGCAGAGAUAGCCAAGGUACAAAGUCCACUGAACAGCUCACAUAUGGCCACUCUAUUUGCAGUUUAUAACUGUAAACACAAUGAGUUAGCAUGAGAUAUUUUUGAGGACCAGAAUUUUUAUAGCAUUUUCUGUGCAUAAUAUAACCUCAGUUACUGCUAUUGUUCUACAGACACCACCUAGUAAAGUUUUACCAUGGCAGUGAGAUUUCUGUUGCAGUAUUAUGAACUGAAUGUGUUUUCAAUACACAAUGACCAGGUUUAUUUACUUAUCAAUAAAUUUGUUCUAAUCUCAAAGAUUUGAACUAAA